rnacentral:rRNA from 1 species
GAUGAACGCUAGCGGCAGGCCUAACACAUGCAAGUCGAGGGGCAGCACAGGUAGCAAUACUGGGUGGCGACCGGCGGAUGGGUGCGUAACGCGUAUGCAACCUACCAUUGAUUGGGGCAUAGCCCGAAGAAAUUCGGAUUAAUACUCCAUAAUAUUCAUCAAAGGCAUCUUUUAUGAAUUAAAGCUUUUGCGAUCAAUGAUGGGCAUGCGUGACAUUAGUUAGUUGGUGAGGUAACGGCUCACCAAAACGAUGAUGUCUAGGGGUUCUGAGAGGAUUAUCCCCCACACUGGUACUGAGACACGGACCAGACUCCUACGGGAGGCAGCAGUGAGGAAUAUUGGUCAAUGGACGCAAGUCUGACCCAGCCAUGCCGCGUGAAGGAUGACAGCCCUAUGGGUUGUAAACUUCUUUUGUACGGGAAAAAACUCCAGUUCGUGAACUGGACUGAUUGUACCGUAAGAAUAAGGAUCGGCUAACUCCGUGCC